GACGAGGGGUCCUAGCGUUGUUCGGAAUCAUUGGGCGUAAAGCGUGUGUAGGCGGCCAUUCAAGUCAGUUGUGAAAUCCCCGGGCUCAACCCGGGAAGUGCUUCUGAUACUGUUUGGCUUGAGUACUGGAGAGGAUAGUGGAAUUCCUGGUGUAGUGGUGAAAUACGUAGAUAUCAGGAGGAACACCGGUGGCGAAGGCGGCUAUCUGGCCAUGUACUGACGCUGAGACACGAAAGCGUGGGGAGCAAACAGG
rnacentral:rRNA from 1 species